UGGGGAAUAUUGCACAAUGGGGGAGCCCUGAUGCAGCGACGCCGCGUGGGUGAAGGAGUAUUUCGGUAUGUAAAGCCCUAUCAGCAGGGAAGAUAAUGACGGUACCUGACUAAGAAGCCCCGGCUAACUACGUGCCAGCAGCCGCGGUAAUACGUAGGGGGCAAGCGUUAUCCGGACUUACUGGGUGUAAAGGGAGCGUAGACGGAUCGGCAAGUCUGAUGUGAAAGGCCGGGGCUCAACCCCGGGACUGCAUUGGAAACUGUUGAUCUUGAGUGCCGGAGGGGUAAGUGGAAUUCCUAGUGUAGCGGUGAAAUGCGUAGAUAUUAGGAGGAACACCAGUGGCGAAGGCGGCUUACUGGACGGUAACUGACGUUGAGGCUCGAAAGCGUGGGGAGCAAACAGGAUUAGAUACC
rnacentral:rRNA from 1 species